AAAGUGACCACACAUGAGCUAAUUCCAAAAUUAGAUGUAUCAUUCCAUCUUAUUUUGUCUUUUGCCCAUGAGGAACCUAUACUUUGAAAAGCUUGUGGUUGUAACCUACUAAAAUCUUUCUAAUAUAAGGGAGCCUGACAGAAACUUCAUGUCUUGUAACACAGAAGGGAGGAAGCAGAAAUUAGAUGCAUCAUGAUGAGCCCUUGAUGAAAUCUGCUCCAGAAAAGCACCCUGUUAUGCCAGAAGCAUGGUCAUCAUUGGCCAACUCUAUACUACAGAGAAGCUCAUAAUCGAGUACCCACAAAAAGUCUGAUACCGAAUAAAGUCCUCUGCUUGGAGCACUAGUGGACCAGCUUCAGUAUUGUAUGACACACGCACAGAUUUUUACUUGAACAUACUGUUUGAGUUGUCUUCUUUCUCUUCUUAUAGAAUAUAAUUUAGACUUCACAUUGUAGUCUGUCUUUAACAGUGUACAUUGCCUAAAAUAAUAUCAUAAAUGUGCUCUCCAUGUAUCUGUAAGAUGAUAAGUAGGUUUUGCUAUGGCUGAACUUCACUGUUGGCUAGUAUUAUCAAACGAUUAGUUUUUGUGACAAUAAAAUUUCAUAAGCUCA